GCGAACGACUUCGGUCGAGACUCGUGAGGAGACAUUGCGAUGGGAACAAAAGCCACUAUUUUCUUCUCUUUGAAUUCCAUUAGCUUUUCCUUCGAUUGAAGUUCGAAACCCGAAGAGUGAAAAAGUGCGAGUGACAAGUUUUUGUUUUGUUGCCAAAAAUUUAUCCAUUAUCCUCUCUCUCCUCUCCCUUUUAGGGGCUUGCGAGAUUCUUGGGAAGCUCGGUAUGGAGAUCUCCAAGAACGAGAGCUUCCCCGAGCUCGGAUAAGUUUCUGGGACCAAGAAAGUUGUGUUCUUUGUCGACGAAUUCUUGCGGCUAAGGCUGCUUCUUUUUGUAGUUCUUCUUACUGUUUCGGAUGGGAGAGUGAGUACCGUUUCAGGUGAGAAAAUGAUUGAAUUGGCAGAGAUAAGAUGAAGCUUUCUACUGUUGGUAUCAGCCAGCAAGCACCAGAAGGGGAGGAGAAGAGAUGCUUGGAUUCGGAGCUCUGGCACGCCUCGCCGGGCCGCUGGUGUCCUUACCCACAGCUGGAACUCGAGUAGUCUAUUUUCCUCAGGGUCACAGUGAGCAAGCGGCUGCAUCGACGAACAAGGAAGUAGAGAGCCAUUUUCCCAAUUACCCAAGCUUACUGCCUCAGUUGCUUUGCCGGCUCCAUAACGUGACUUUGCGCGCAGAUGUGGAAACAGAUGAAGUUUAUGCUCAGAUGACGUUGCAACCUCUGAGUCCGGAAGAGCAGAAAGUCACUUAUUUUCCCAUUGAGAUGGGUUUUACGAGCAAGCAACCCACAAAUUAUUUCUGCAAGAUUCUGACAGCAAGUGAUACAAGUACCCAUGGAGGGUUCUCUAUACCUCGUCGUGCAGCUGAAAAAGUCUUCCCUCCUCUGGAUUUCUCUCAGCAGCCGCCAGUGCAGGAGCUUAUUGCUCGUGACCUUUAUGAUGUUGAAUGGAAGUUCAGGCACAUUUUUCGAGGUCAACCAAAAAGGCAUUUCCUUACUACAGGCUGGAGUGUGUUUGUCCGUGCCAAGAGACUUGUCGCUGGGGAUUCUGUUCUUUUUAUUUGGAAUGAAAAGAACCAGCUUUUGUUGGGAAUAAGACGCACUAAUCAACCACAAACUUCAGCAUCAUCAUCACUGGUUUUAUCAAGUGACAGCAUGCAUAUAGGACUCUUUGCUGCAGCAGCUCAUGCUGCUGCCACAAAUAGUCGUUUUACCAUAUUUUAUAAUCCAAGGGCCAGCCCAUCAGAGUUUGUUAUACCUCUUUCAAAGUACACUAAAGCUGUAUUCCACACAUGUGUAUCAAUUGGGAUGCGAUUUCGUAUGCUUUUUGAGACCGAGGAAUCAAGCAUUCGUAGGUACAUGGGAACAAUUACUGGCAUAAGUGUCUUGGAUCCUGUACGUUGGCCGACUUCUCAUUGGAAAACAGUCCAGGUUGGCUGGGAUGAAGCCACGGAAGGUAAAAGGCAGUGUAGAGUAUCACUGUGGGAAGUUGAGCCUUUAACUACCUUUCCCAUGUAUCCAUCAUUGUUUCCAAUUGGCAGAUCUUGGCAUCCUGGAGCAUCCUUUCCUUGUGACAUCAAAGAAAAUGAGCUAAAUGCUUUAAUGUGGUCAAGAGGCCUUGCUGCUGAACGAGGCAUGUGUUCAUUGAAUCUCUCAUCACUAGGUAUGGGCCCUUGGGUCCAACAUAAGCAUGAACCAUUGCUGCCGGGAAGUGAGUUCAAUAAGUACCAAGCCAUUUCCCAUGUAGCUUUGCAGGAUGUACGAUAUUGGGAUAUUCUGAAGCUGCAAUUUCUGCAAAAUCAACAACCUAUUCAAUUUCUUCCACAGUCCUAUGCAUCCAGCUCAUUGCUGCAGCAUCGAGAUUGUCAGCAGACUAAGCAGCAGAUUGUGAAUUCUCAAUCACAAUGCGUAACAGAACCAGUUUUAUAUGAGCAGUGGCAGCCACCCCAAAAUAAGCAGCAAAAGCAGCAGGUUGAAGGAGCACAUGCUAACACACAGGCAUUCCCAAUGCAUAGCAAUCAUGUGCAACAGCAGUCUCAUUUUCCUCCUUCAUUGUUUGAAAGUUCAUCCAUUCAUUACUCAAGCUUAGGUUUCUCAUCAAUUCCGACGGCAAGUUCCGUUCAGGAUAUCUUAGGAUUUGCUUAUUGUGAAGAAAAUGCUGGUGGUUCCAACUAUUCACAUCUUGGCCAAUCCAUGUUAAAUCAUCCUAAUUGGCAAUCAUGGAAACCCAAGUUUACCAAGACACAACCAAUUUCUUUUGAUGAUGUAGCUCUGCUACCAUCACUUCCUGCUAAGAACUGUACUGCAGGAAAUGAAGUUUUCAGAGUUAACCUGAUUAACACCCUGUUUAGCUUCGGCAAAGAUUCCUCCUCUUCGCCGACUAAUGCAGUACCUAACCUAGGUAUCGUCAAUGAUAUGUCGAGUGUGCCAUGUGUCGGUUAAUUUUUCCAUAAUUCUCUGUAUGGAUAUGUGGAUGACUUAUCUGGCUUAUGAAAAAAUGCAGAAGAGACUGAUCUACAAUCCCAAUACUUUGUGAAGGUUUACAAGUCGGGAUCAGUUGGGAGGUCUCCGGACAUCUCCCGGUUUAGCAAUUAUGAUGAAUUACGUGAGGAACUGGGACAGAUGUUUGGUAUUGAGGGUCUAUCAGAAGAUCCUCUUAGAUCAGGCUGGCAGCUUGUAUUUGUCGACAGGGAGAAUGAUGUGCUUCUCUUUGGAGAUGACCCAUGGGAGUCAUUCAUGAAUAACGUCUGGUACAUCAAAAUACUUUCACCUGAGGAUAUGCUGAAAAUGGGAAAACAGGGAGUUGAAUCUUUAUGUUAAUCCCUCUAGAAAUUCAGGGAACAAGUGAGGGUCAUUUGUGGAUAACGUCUAGCAUAUCAAGAUACUUUCAACUGAGGAGGUGCUGAAAAUUGGAAAACAGGGAAUUGAAUCUUUCUAUUAAUCCCUCUUGAAAUUCAAGGAACAAGCAAGGGUUACCCUCUUUUCGGCUCUCAACUGGUGCUCCUUAUAGACACUCCUAGCAUGAUUUUGUUGUUCUCAGAUUCAGUAUGAUCUGCAAGAUGACCGAUAAUAUGCAAUUUGAUGGUAUUUGCUCUCUUCCACCAGAUAUAAACUGGAUAUUUUGCUGCUAAUCUAAAUUAACUAUGAUUGUAACUAUACUUCAGAGUACAUCGAGAUGCUUGAACAAGUAUUAUUUUGGCCUGUUUCCU